rnacentral:rRNA from 1 species
GUGGGGAAUUUUGGACAAUGGGCGCAAGCCUGAUCCAGCAAUGCCGCGUGCAGGAAGAAGGCCUUCGGGUUGUAAACUGCUUUUGUACGGAACGAAACGGCUCUGGUUAAUACCCGGGGCUAAUGACGGUACCGUAAGAAUAAGCACCGGCUAACUACGUGCCAGCAGCCGCGGUAAUACGUAGGGUGCAAGCGUUAAUCGGAAUUACUGGGCGGAAAGCGUGCGCAGGCGGUUGUGUAAGACAGGCGUGAAAUCCCCGGGCUCAACCUGGGAAUUGCGCUUGUGACUGCACAGCUGGAGUGCGGCAGAGGGGGAUGGAAUUCCGCGUGUAGCAGUGAAAUGCGUAGAUAUGCGGAGGAACACCGAUGGCGAAGGCAAUCCCCUGGGCCUGCACUGACGCUCAUGCACGAAAGCGUGGGGAGCAAACAGGAUUAGAUACCCCAGUAGUCC